GCCCGGCUCUCUCCGCUGCUCCCGCCUGGGUCCCGAGACCCGGUUUCUGAACCCCGACGUCCCAUCCAGCGAAAAACCAAAGCGUUCCAAUAUGUGGCCAAGCGGCCACCCAGCAAGCCUGCGAUAGGCCCCCGGCAGGUCCGGAGAUGCGAGGCAUUGAGCGCUCUUGAGGGCAGCAUCUGCCGGCAGUUCUAGGCGAUUUGGAGCUACCACCCCAGCGUUUGUUAAAUGAAGGAAGCUUUGCAUCGCGUAAAGCGCAGACAGCAGCAAGGUGACUGCAGCCAGCCUGGGAGAAUUCGUGCGUUCUCUGGUUGAACCCAGUCUUCCCGAGCACCUUCCUGGCGCCAGACCCUGGGGUGUGACUUGCAUGUGUCUCAUGCAGCCCUCCUGGUACAGCUCGCAGAAAUUGUGAGUUGUGUGGAUUCUCUUUACCUCCUCCAAGUCCUCAUUGGGUCACAGGGUAGAGGUUGGAACAUUAGAAGUAGAAAGAGGCCACAGCUGGGACUGAAGGGGGAGACAGUGUUGAUCUUCCCCAAGGUGUUCACUCAUUGCUCUGUCAUUUCCCCGUAUCUUUGCUUACUUUCUCCAUUUGCCUGGAAAGUUCUUUCCCUCCAUCUCCAUUUUAAUGACUGUGGCAGGGGGAAUGCUAAAAAUGGCUCCCAAGACUCCAGUUCUCUAAUCCCUAGAACCUAUGGAUAUGAUGAAUUAUCACUCCCAUGACUGUGCAGCAUUUGAAUGUAUUUGAAUGUCAGAUGGCACAGUUAACUUUCGUAGGUUUCUCUGGGUGAAUCUGAGCUAAUCACACGAGCUCUUUUAAAAGCAGACUUUUCUGGUAGCAGAAGAGGAGGUCAUGGAUUUGAAGCAUGAGGGGAAUUUGACACAUCAUUGCUGGUGUGAAAUGGAGAAGACUGCAUGCCAAGGAAGAUGGACAGCUUUUGGGAGUAAUCCCAGCUGACAUCUAGCAAGGAAAUGGGGACUUCAGACCUACUACUGCAAGGAACAGCAGUUGACCAACAACUUGAAGGAGGAUGGAAGCAGAGUCUUCCCUAGAACUUCUGGAUAAGAGACCAGCUUGCCCACACCUUGAUUUUGGUGAGAUCUUUGUGAGACCCUAAAGGGAGGACCCAGUUGAGCCCACCUAGGACUUCUGAUCUUCCAAUCUGUGAGAUAAAUCGUGGGGGCUACUUUAAGCUGCUGAGUUGUGGUAAUUUGCUAUAGCAACAAUAGAAAAUGAAUCCAAUGACAUAGGAAGAAGGUUGUUGAGCACAGUGGGUAUUACUUUUAACCAACUUGUUGGGCUUAAUAGAUUCCAUGUGUAAGAAUUGCUUCCGAAGCCCUCAGCAGGCAGCCUGAACACUUCCACUGCUGGCCACCAGAAGAUACUCCUGUCCUCUCUACAGCUGCUGGUAGGGGAGCCCAACACAGGGCUUGAACUCAUGACCCAGAU